rnacentral:rRNA from 1 species
GACGAACGCUGGCGGCGUGCUUAACACAUGCAAGUCGAACGGAAAGGCCCUGCUUUUGUGGGGUGCUCGAGUGGCGAACGGGUGAGUAACACGUGAGUAACCUGCCCUUGACUUUGGGAUAACUUCAGGAAACUGGGGCUAAUACCGGAUAGGAGCUCCUGCUGCAUGGUGGGGGUUGGAAAGUUUCGGCGGUUGGGGAUGGACUCGCGGCUUAUCAGCUUGUUGGUGGGGUAGUGGCUUACCAAGGCUUUGACGGGUAGCCGGCCUGAGAGGGUGACCGGCCACAUUGGGACUGAGAUACGGCCCAGACUCCUACGGGAGGCAACGGUGGGGAAUAUUGCACAAUGGGCGGAAGCCUGAUGCAGCAACGCCGCGUGCGGGAUGACGGCCUUCGGGUUGUAAACCGCUUUCGCCUGUGACGAAGCGUGAGUGACGGUAAUGGGUAAAGAAGCACCGGCUAACUACGU